AUACGGAGGAUCCGAGCGUUAUCCGGAUUUAUUGGGUUUAAAGGGUGCGCAGGCGGCCAUUUAAGUCAGCGGUUAAAUCGUGGGGCUCAACCCCAUUCUGCCGUUGAUACUGGGUGGCUUGAUUGCGGUCGAGGUUGGCGGAAUGCGUUGUGUAGCGGGGAAAUGCAUAGAUAUGACGAAGAACACCGAUUGCGUAGGCAGCUGACCAGACCGCAAAUGACGCUCAUGCACGAAAGUGCGGGGAUCGAACAGGAUUAGAUACCCUGGUAGUCCGCACAGUAAACGAUGAAUACUUGUUUUCGGCGAUAUAAUGUCGGAGGCAAAGCGAAAGCGAUAAGUAUUCCACCUGGGGAGUACGCCGGCAACGGUGAAACUCAAAUGAAUUGACGGGG
rnacentral:rRNA from 1 species